AAAAUCAUUACAUAUCGAAGCACAGAGCUGGGUUUGUUUGAUCGAGUAAAAAAUUUUGAGCAUAAAAAGAUUUUUUAAUGCGCAAUAGCACAUGCAAAACAAUAAAGUUACGAUUUAACAUUAAAGCUGUCCAAAUGAAAGGAGAUUAUGUUGAAGUGGCAGUCACGCCCUAGAUCUGGUUCAUUAAACGAUGUAGAGAAAAAAGUAACAUUGUCUAGCUAUCCAAGUCUCGAUAGACCCAUGUGUAGUUUACAGAAUAAUGAAGAAGUCAAAACAGUAAACAUUGAAAUAAAAGUUGAAGAUUGGGAUUUUAAUAAAUGUGAAAAAGAUAAUGAAAUAAUUGUUACAGAUAUGUCAAGAAAUUACUACGUUCGCAAAAGAUCAAAAUCGUUAAACUCUUCGCAAUGACGUACUUCACAGUGACAUGUAUGCAACGUAGCAUAAGUUUUUGGAAAUUUUUUUUUUAUGUGUAUCAAUAUUAUUUAGAAUGAGCAAAAAUAUUUAUAGAAAUUAAA